rnacentral:rRNA from 1 species
GACGAACGCUGGCGGCGUGCUUAGCACAUGCAAGUCGAACGGAAAGGCCCUGCUUUUGUGGGGUGCUCGAGUGGCGAACGGGUGAGUAACACGUGAGUAACCUGCCCUUGACUUUGGGAUAACUUCAGGAAACUGGGGCUAAUACCGGAUAGGAGCUCCUGCUGCAUGGUGGGGGUUGGAAAGUUUCGGCGGUUGGGGAUGGACUCGCGGCUUAUCAGCUUGUUGGUGGGGUAGUGGCUUACCAAGGCUUUGACGGGUAGCCGGCCUGAGAGGGUGACCGGCCACAUUGGGACUGAGAUACGGCCCAGACUCCUACGGGAGGCAGCAGUGGGGAAUAUUGCACAAUGGGCGGAAGCCUGAUGCAGCAACGCCGCGUGCGGGAUGACGGCCUUCGGGUUGUAAACCGCUUUCGCCUGUGACGAAGCGUGAGUGACGGUAAUGGGUAAAGAAGCACCGGCUAACUACAUG